GCCUUAACGGGCAGUAAGGCACAGGAGGGUCCCGUCCGGCAGAAUCCCGGGAAGGCUGCCGGCGGCGGGGUCGUCCUCGUGGGCGGCAGGCACGUCGCCCACCUGCGCACGCCGGUGCUCACCUACGCCCUCCUGCACCUGUGCGCUCCAUCUCGUCGGAGCCCAGGAUUCCUGGAGGUCUUCCUGUGACUGCCCUGCAGCCCUCGGCGGCGCAGUCGCGCCACCUGGGGCUCAACGCCGCUAACGUGCAUUUAAAACGGCACGCAGAUUUUCAUCGUACUUGGAAUUGCGCGGGGUUUUGUUUAAUGGAAAAAGCCUCCAAAGGUGUUCUAGGAGCACGUGACUUGUUCACAUCGCACGGACCUCCCGAGGACCUACUGACUAAUACACCCCGGGUCCCGCUGUUACUCCCCUGGGGUGGUGGUGGCCUGGUGAACUCGCUGUGUCCCUGGAGUGAUGUGUCUGCAGGGACGCUUUCAUCUCCCUUCUGCGCUAGUUCUCACAAAACGCUGUCUGCUUGCUCACUUCCGACAGAGGAAAACAAAAGGUGACUGUGCGCAUUCGAAGAAAGAGAAGGCGAAGAGGCCGGGCCCGGCUGUCCAUGCGACUGUCUGUGCGGCCGGCCAGGAGGCGAGUCCGGUAGAUGCUGAGGACAGCGGACUUCUUGGGAGAGGGGACAUUUGCAGAAGCCCGUCAUGCAGCCACACCCCCAGUGAGGCAGGAGUGGCUCAGGACAGUUGGGCCAGACCCUGUUGUCAGGGCUGGUCACAGCAGCAACCAGAGACCCUGCCCUCAGGGAGCUCCUUCCCUGUGGGGACAGGUCCCCAGCAUCCUGUUCUGGAAGGGAGAGCCUGUGUUUGCACGCAGAGUUAGAAGAGAACCACCUGCACCAAUUAGCAGAGUUGAUGUCCUCCCUGGAAGUGCAGCAGGCGACAGAUGUCGAGGGGACCCAGGCAUCAGGUAGUGAGCAGCCUGUGGGGUUCUCGGAGAAGCCGGGCCCAGGUCAUCCCAAGGCCAAGUGGCUGCAGGGGAUCCUCCCAUGUGCCUUCUAGUGACCCCUGGACCACUGCAAGCGAGAAACCAAAGAUGACACUUGGAAAGCAGACGACCUGAGGAGACACCUUUGGGACCACAUCUUGUUGAUUUUAAGGAUGCUUUAAAGCUGCAGUACGGUGACAGUAAAGACAGCCCUCUUAAGUACUGGCUUUAUAAGGAAGAAGGUGAGAGAAGACAUAGGAAGCAGAAAGAGCCAGAUGGAGAAAAGAAGCAUCAAGAAAAAAGCAGCACAAGGAAAAGAAGAGAAAAGCAUCCCAAAGAAAAAAGCAAUUAAUUCCCUGACAAGGAAGCAGCAGAGCAGAGUACAGAGAAACGCCACAAGGAAGGCUUCCACUUAGGUGAUGAGAGGCACCGGGGCCACAUGGACAGGAGAUAGGCCCUUGGGACAGGAGCACAGGACAGAGGAGCCCAAGGCACUGUUUUUUGAUGAUCACUGCCUUUGUGGUCGCCCUGAGACCCAGAGGUCGUCUUCAUGCAACCAAAUGAUCAGACUUGUCACCUAAAAGUAGUGACCUUGGUAAAAAUGUGAUUUAAGUCUGUACUGUUGACCUUUGAUCAGCAUUUGUUUGAAGUGUAUGGGGCCACUUAUAUGUGGAUUUUUAACUGGGGUUGGGGGUCGUUGCCCAUGACUCCUGUGUUGAUCAAGGGUCACCUAUACGUGAAAUCAAUAUGGGAUGAUUACUGACCUUUUAGGGAAUAGGCAGUCUAAGGGUGUGAUUCUAUUACAGAUGUACUUGCAACAUAUUCAGAAAUCUGCAUAAAAUUUUGAAUUUAACAUUAAAAAGGAAGCUGACAUUUUUACAAGAGGAGAUUAAGUAAAUAAUUCAGGGUAAUGUUCACCAGAAUUGGUAGUGGUUUUGCAAAAAAAAAACCAAAAUUUAAACUAUUGAUUUCAAAGGAUCUAAUUUUCCUCCAUAUAUACUUACAUGAUCACUGUAAUUGCUUAAUAUUUUCCUAUACUGAUUUUAGUAUCUUUGGUUCUCAUAUACACUUUCUGCUGUGGUGUUUUUCUAGACUCUGAAGUGAAGCAGUUCCUUUCUCCCAUUUUUUGAUGUUGUUCCCUCAGGUGGAAGCGAAGCAAAAGUCAGGUCCUUGGGGGCAGAGGCUGGCACCUCUGAUUGGCCGGGGCUUGUCUGGGGAGGUGUGUGUGUUUCCGGAUAAUCUUUUGUUCUGUGCGCUGUUUCUCAGCGCUGCACUGAGGUGCGUAUUGGGGGAUUCUGGCCGCCUUUUCUGUCCCCCAUGCAGCAGUUUCCCCUUCAUCGUGGAGGCCCCCAGCUCCAGGGCAGAUCUCACUCAGCUUUCUGUGGCUCAUUGUCUUGAAGUGAGCUACUGGCUGAAAAUACACAGAUUUUUAAAAAUGUUUUCCUUACGUCUCCCAAUUUUUUGGUAAGUUCUAGAGUAACAUUGCUCACUAGAAUUUUAAUGUGAGCCACAUUUGUAACUUUUAGUUUUCUAGCAGUCACGUUAAAAAUGUAAAAAAGAAAUGAUUAAUUUUAAUAACAUAUAUAACCCAGUGUUUCUUAAAUAUGCUUUCAACAUGUAAUCAUUAAAAUAAAUUAUCAAUGAGACAUUUAACAUUAUUUUUUUCACUAGAGGUACAAAAUACGUGAUAUAUUUAUCCCUGAAAGAUCCCAGAAGUGAUCUUGAAGAUAUCAACAGCUUGCUUGGCUUUGAUGAGGCCCUGUUUUAUAACAUCAACACUGAAUUUAUCUUGGUUUAAUUUUUCAGUAUUUAUGGAUACAAUAAGAUUAGUUUUCUGGACACAAGGAAGGCUUCAUAUUUUCUUUUGGCAAUGCACCAUGCUGUUUCCAUCUUCUGCUCUGAGUAGCUGUGGGUAGUGAUGUCUGGGUCCUGCCUUCCUGGUGCCAGUGACCCAGCAGGUCUGGCUGUCAGCUCUUCCCUCCUGGUGCGGGUCAUAUCACCCUCUGCUCGCUGGCACUGGAAGGAGGUAUAGUCGUCCCCUCCUUAUCCAUGGUUUCAAUUAUCAUGUCAGCCGUGGUCUGGAAGCCAACCUGUGGCCGUAGGUGGGAAGCUCUGCAGCAGCCUGACGCAGUGGCAUGGCGCCCAUGUCCUCUCCUCGCCCCAUCUCAUCAUGUGGGCCUUCACCAUCUCGCAUCCUCACGGGAAGGGCGAUGCAACACAGGGAGAUAUUUUGAUGGACAGACCAUAUUCACAUCACUUUUAUUACAGCAUAUUUUAUAAUUGUGCCACUUUAUUAUUAGUUACUGUUCAUCUCUCACUGCCUCAUUUAUAAAUUAAACCUUACAGGCCUAUAAUCAUUUAUACAUAGGAAACAAUAGUACACGUCGGCUUUCUGACUGUCCUUGGUUCAGACACCCACUGGACUCUGGGACCUUGGCCCCUGUAGUGAGAGGGGAACCUGUACCGCUGUUUGCCUACUUCUCUGAGUUAACACUACUCACCCUAAGUCACGCCAUUUGUAUGUCAGGCUGGGGCCCGAGUCCCUCGCCACUGAGGGCAGUGCCUGCCUGGGGGGAGCAGGUGGGCUCUGGCUGCCCUGGAGAUGCUCCCUCUGCUGGCUGCGCCCUGCUGUGCUCUCCAGAUGGGCUCCUGGGGGAAGCCAGCUCAGAGGCAUGGACGCAAGGGAGAGCCUUUAACUUUGGCGUCCCAUCCAGAUGAGCGUUUUGACUUGUGUUUCUGUGCUGUCCUCAUACUGUCCAGCAUACUUCUUCUGGACAACAGGACUUAGUAUGGAGGGAGGGGCAGAUUUUAAAUGGCACCCUGUUUGCACUUGUUCGGGAUUCCUUGCCUGUGAAGGCCGUCUAGGUUGUCAGACGCCAUGGCCCUACUCUGCGUGGACAGAGGGGAGCAUUUGCAGAGGGCUUUGCGGGGACAAGGAUCAGACCGAGUGACUGGCUGGCCUUCUCAGGUGUUGCUCUGCAUUUAAAUUGAAGAAGGUUAUGAAAAUGCAAGAAACUAAACAGAUGUGCUUCAGGCCAUUGUCAGUGUGAAAUAUUCCAGGUAAUGGUAGCUUUCAGAAAUACAUGCCAAACUGGAGAGCUCAAGGAAGUGGGCCUGUUCUCUUGUAAGAGGGCCGCUGGUCAUGGCAGCGCUCCUCCCAAAGCCGUGCUGAUGCCACCUUCCUGUCAUCAUCCACAGCCAGUUCCUGCUGCUAGGACGUGCCAGCUCGCCACUUCCCCUGCCCCCGGCACAGAGCCUGGCAUGCCCCUGGGUGCCUCAUUUGCUGCGUGGACGCUGUCUGGGAUGGAGGGGCUUGGGCAGCAGUCGGCAGUGAGUCUAAAACUCCCAUGUGGUGUUUCAGCUGUUUCUCCUGUCAGUUGGCAGGCACCCUCCUGACUGGUGCAGCACGUGCAGUAUGUGGCCCUCAGUGUAUUGUACGGUGACUUUAUAUAACUGUGCCAAAAGGACCAUUUUACAGGGCAGUUGUAACUAUAAAGUAUUUGUUCAAAAUAAUUCCUUGGCCCCCAGGUGGUGAGAUGUCCCUGGUGGUCCCCUCAGUCCUGUGGUUGUGCAGGACCAUGCUGCCACCUGGAAAGUCAGCACUGACUGUCCUUGUGAAGAGCAGCCCACCUUCUGUGCGGCAGACCUCCUUGAUUCUGUGGCACUUUGUCGCACAGCUGGUCACAGGGGUUUCAAGAUGGAAGAUGGUGGGCCUCUUGCCCAGCCCUGCCCACCUGGAGGUGCCUCUCCCUCUUCACUCUCACACGUCAUAGCUGAGCCCCCCAGCCCUGUCCACCUGGCUCACCUCCCUGUCCACCUGGCUCACCUCCCUGUCCCUGUGUGGGCCGUGCACUGACAUCUGCCUAGUUUCCUUCUGACCCUGACAGCAGGUCAGCCUCGCUCCCCUGGGUUUUGUGGUGGCUGCUCCACCAGCCUAGCCAAGUCCGUCCUGCCUGUGGUGCCAGAAGGUCCAUACACACGUGUUUGGUUCGCCCCUCGUCCAGGAAGAAACCGAGCAAACUGGGGUGCAUUUGGGCUGUCCACAUGGGUAGGGAGCUGCUUAGGCUGAAAGUGGGUAUGGCGAGGCUUCUUUCUGAAGGACAUCUCUGACCCCAAGUGAAGGAGAGAGGCCGUAUGGGAAUGGUGGGUAGAGGGGAGGGCAGGCCUGGUGAGAGGCUGCAAUACUAACCCCAUGUGGGGAGGGGGAGGCCAGAGGACUCCUGACAUGUGCUGGUGAGACAUGGAGGUGCCACAUUGCCUUUAAGUAGGAUGCGGAAGCACAGAUAGAGGUAAGAGGAGGGGCAGCUUUUUGUGCAAAAUACAAGUUUUCUUAACAUUUGGUUUCUGCUGCCGUCUUUGCCUGGAAACCUGGAAUGUAGUUCUCCUUCGUUUUCCUGGUCACCUCUUACUCAUCCUGAAGACACAGACCAGGGCAGCCUCAGGGUGGCCUGUGUAGCCACCCGACACCUCCAGAGCACCCCCAAACCUGCCUUCCCUGCAGGCUCACUGAGCCCCUCCUUUAUCCCAGACCACAGGUGGUGACGCUGAGGCUGGGAGUGGAUCAGCAAUGAGCCAGGUGUACCCUGAUGCCCAGGGGCAGGCCCAGAUCUGAGCAGUCUGUCUUGCUCUAAGUGACAAGGAUGGGAACGUGAGGACUUCACACAUGAGCUUUUCUGUCACUGGGGCAGUUCAGUCAGCCCUUGCUGGUGUCUGCUUUAGCACACAUGUCUGUGUGUCUGUUCUUGACAGUGUGGAUGUGGGGAUUUGUUCACGGGCAAGAAGGGAAGCCAGAGAGGCGUGCUGGAAGUUUGGAAUUUGUUCAUAGAAAUAAUUUAUUUGCCAUUUAUUUGUAUUUUAUUUAUUUACAUAUAUAAAUUUUUUCUUCAGUUAUCAGAAUUAUAGAAGUUUUUCAAAAAGGAUGUGUUUAUUAACUGUUUUCUCUUUUUGAUCAUAUUUAUAAGUUAGCAAGGUGUUUCUUAAAUAAUUUGAAGUCAGGUUAUGUUAGUUUUAUAAAUACUUAACAUUUUAAAAUUAGCAACAUCAAAUUAAUCUCAGAAAACAUACUUUCCCAACCCAUUUGCAAGAUUCAAAUUUAUAAUCGAAUUUUUUGUUAUAUGUUUGAUUUUUAUCUCUAGGAAAUUGAAAAGGACAUUAUAAAAUGCUGUAGUUUUGAAGAUAAUUUUGAAGUAUGUAUAAAAGUUAAACUUUUUGGCUUAAAAAGAUUUGUUCUUAAAAAUCAGCUUGAGCAUAGUAACUUAGUAGUUUUUUUGUCUUUAUUGUUACUCUAUGUACUUCGUAUCUGUUUGAUACAGGCCUUUUGCCUCUGAAACGUUUGCCAUACCUCUGUCAACUCUUAUCAAAAUGAUGUAAUUAAAUAAAUUUACAAUUU